AACGCGAAGAACCUUAUCUGGCCUUGACAUGCUGAGUUCAGGCGUGGAAACACGCUGGCCCGCAAGGGCGAUCUGCACAGGUGCUGCAUGGCUGUCGUCAGCUCGUGUCGUGAGAUGUUGGGUUAAGUCCCGCAACGAGCGCAACCCUCGUGACUAGUUAAUCCCGGGCAACCGGAUUCUGGUCAGACUGCCCUGUGAAACGGGGAGGAAGGUGGGGACGACGUCAAGUCCGUAUGGCCCUUACGGCCAGGGCUGCACACGUACUACAAUGCUCACUACAGAGGGACGCAAGACCGCAAGGUGGAGCCAAUCCCUAAAAGGUGAGCCCAGUUCGGAUUGGAGGCUGCAACUCGCCUCCAUGAAUCCGGAAUCGCUAGUAAUGGCGCAUCAGCUACGGCGCCGUGAAUACGUUCCCGGGUCUUGUACACACCG
rnacentral:rRNA from 1 species